rnacentral:rRNA from 1 species
GACGAACGCUGGCGGCGUGCCUAAUACAUGCAAGUAGGACGCACAGUCUAUACCGUAUCUUGCUACACCAUAGGCUGUGAGUUGCGAACGGGUGAGUCACGCGUAGGUAACCUUCCUAUUAGGGGGGGGUAACUAUAGUAAACGAUAGCUAAUACCGCAUCACAGUAUGUAACACAUGUUAGAUGCUUGAAAGAUGCAAUUGCAGCGCUAGUAGAUGGACCUGCGUUGUAUUAGCUAGUAGGUAGGGUAAUGGACUACCUAUGCGAAGAUACAUAGCCGAGCUGAGAGGGUGAUCGGCCAACCUGGGACUGAGACCCGGCCCCGACUCCCUACGGAAGCAGCAGUAGGGAAUCUUUGGAAAUGGGGGGAAAGCUGAACGAGCAACGCCGCGUGAGUGAAGAAGGGUUUCGGAUCGUAAAGCUCUGUUGUUAAGGAAGAAAGAGCGUGAGAAUGGAAAGUUCAUACUGUGACGGUACUUAAACAGAAAGCGACGGCUAACUACGUG